rnacentral:rRNA from 1 species
ACUGAACGCUGGCGGUAGGCCUAACACAUGCAAGUCGAACGGCAGCACAGUAAGAGCUUGCUCUUACGGUUGGCGAGUGGCGGACGGGUGAGGCAUACAUCGGAAUCUACUUUUUCGUGGGGGAUAACGGAGGGAAACUUACGCUAAUACCGCAUACGACCUACGGGUGAAAGCAGGGGAUCUUCGGACCUUGCGCGAUUGAAUGAGCCGAUGUCGGAUUAGCUAGUUGGCGGGGUAAAGGCCCACCAAGGCGACGAUCCGUAGCUGGUCUGAGAGGAUGAUCGGCCACACUGGAACUGAGACACGGUCCAGACUCCUACGGGAGGCAGCAGUGGGGAAUAUUGGACAAUGGGCGCAAGCCUGAUCCAGCCAUACCGCGUGGGUGAAGAAGGCCUUCGGGUUGUAAAGCCCUUUUGUUGGGAAAGAAAAGCAGCAGGUUAAUACCCCGCUGUUCUGACGGUACCCAAAGAAUAAGCACCGGCUAACUUCGUG